rnacentral:rRNA from 1 species
AUUGAACGCUGGCGGCAGGCCUAACACAUGCAAGUCGAGCGAGCGGCGGACGGGUGAGUAAUGUAUGGGGAUCUGCCCGAUAGAGGGGGAUAACUACUGGAAACGGUGGCUAAUACCGCAUACCAUCGGAUGCACCCAUAUGGGAUUAGCUUGUAGGUGGGGUAAAGGCUCACCAAGGCGACGAUCUCUAGCUGGUCUGAGAGGAUGACCAGCCACGAUGGGACAGAGAAGCGGCCCAUACUCAUACGGGAGGCAGCAGUGGGGAAUAUUGCACAAUGGGCGCAAGCCUGAUGCAGCCAUGCGGCGUGUAUGAAGAAGGCCUUAGGGUUGUAAAGUACGUUCAGUCGGGAGGCGUAGCCGACAGAAGAAGCACCGGCUAACGCCGUGACAGCCGCCGAGGUAAUAC